CAGCCGCCACGGUAAUACGUAGGGUGCAAGCGUUGUCCGGAAUUAUUGGGCGUAAAGAGCUCGUAGGCGGUUUGUCGCGUCUGCUGUGAAAUCCCGAGGCUCAACCUCGGGCUUGCAGUGGGUACGGGCAGACUAGAGUGCGGUAGGGGAGAUUGGAAUUCCUGGUGUAGCGGUGGAAUGCGCAGAUAUCAGGAGGAACACCGAUGGCGAAGGCAGAUCUCUGGGCCGUAACUGACGCUGAGGUGCGAAAGCGUGGGGAGCGAACAGGAUUAGAUACCCCCUGUAGUCCCUGUCUCUUAUC
rnacentral:rRNA from 1 species